rnacentral:rRNA from 1 species
CGAUGGCUACAGUAACGAACGCUGGCGGCAUGCCUAACACAUGCAAGUCGAACGAGACCUUCGGGUCUAGUGGCGCACGGGUGCGUAACACGUGGGAAUUUGCCUCGGGGUAUGGAAUAACUCAGGGAAACUUGAGCUAAUACCAUAUAAUGUCUUCGGACCAAAGAUUUAUCGCCCUGAGAUAAGCCCGCGUAGGAUUAGCUAGUUGGUGGGUAAAGGCUCACCAAGGCGACGAUCCUUAGCUGGUCUGAGAGGAUGAUCAGCCACACUGGGACUGAGACACGGCCCAGACUCCUACGGGAGGCAGCAGUGGGGAAUAUUGGACAAUGGGCGAAAGCCUGAUCCAGCAAUGCCGCGUGAGUGAUGAAGGCCUUAGGGUUGUAAAGCUCUUUUACCCGAGAUGAUAAUGACAGUAUCGGGAGAAUAAGCUCCGGCUAACUCCGUG